UACGUAGGUGGCAAGCGUUGUUCGGAAUUAUUGGGCGUAAAGGGCGCGUAGGCGGCUUGUUAAGUCGGCUGUGAAAGCCCGGGGCUCAACCCCGGAGGGUCAGCCGAUACUGGCAGGCUAGAGUACGGAAGAGGUAGCUGGAAUUCCCAGUGUAGCGGUGAAAUGCGUAGAUAUCGGGAGGAACACCUGAGGCGAAGGCGGGCUACUGGGCCGAUACUGACGCUGAUGUGCGAAAGCCAGGGGAGCGAACGGG
rnacentral:rRNA from 1 species